CCUACGGGUGGCAGCAGUGGGGAAUAUUGCACAAUGGGGGAAACCCUGAUGCAGCGACGCCGCGUGAGUGAAGAAGUAUUUCGGUACGUAAAGCUCUAUCAGCAGGGAAGAAAAUGACGGUACCUGACUAAGAAGCCCCGGCUAACUACGUGCCAGCAGCCGCGGUAAUACGUAGGGGGCAAGCGUUAGCCGGAUUUACUGGGUGUAAAGGGAGCGUAGACGGCAGGGCAAGUCAGGAGUGAAAUCCCAUGGCUUAACCAUGGAACUGCUUUGGAAACUGUGCAGCUAGAGUGCAGGAGAGGUAAGCGGAAUUCCUAGUGGAGCGGUGAAAUGCGUAGAUAUUAGGAGGAACACCAGUGGCGAAGGCGGCUUACUGGACUGUAACUGACGUUGAGGCUCGAAAGCGUGGGGAGCAAACAGGAUUAGAUACCCUUGUAGUC
rnacentral:rRNA from 1 species